UGGGGAAUAUUGCACAAUGGAGGGAACUCUGAUGCAGCAACGCCGCGUGCGGGAUGACGGCCUUCGGGUUGUAAACCGCUUUCAGCCAUGACGAAGCUUUUGUGACGGUAGUGGUAGAAGAAGCACCGGCUAACUACGUGCCAGCAGCCGCGGUGAUACGUAGGGUGCGAGCGUUGUCCGGAAUUAUUGGGCGUAAAGGGUGCGCAGGCGGCUUUACAAGUUGGAUGUGAAAUAUUGUGGCUCAACCACAAACGUGCAUCCAAAACUGCAAAGGUUGAGUUAAGGGGGGGUAGGGGGAAUUCCGGGUGUGGCGGUGGAAUGCGUAGGUAUCAGGGGGGAUACCGGUGGCGAAGGCGACUUACUGGGCUUAAACUGACGCUGAGGCACGAAGGCGUGGGGGGCAAACAGG
rnacentral:rRNA from 1 species